rnacentral:rRNA from 1 species
GACAGAGGUGCCAAGCGUUAGGCGGAAUCACUGGGCUUAAAGCGUGUGUAGGCGGAAUGGUAAGUACCUUGUGAAAUCCCACGGCUCAACCGUGGAACUGCUGGGUAUACUGCUUUUCUUGAGCCACUUAGGGGCUGUCGGAACAAACGGUGGAGCGGUGAAAUGCGUAGAUAUCGUUUGGAACGCCAACGGUGAAAACAGACAGCUGGGAGUGUGCUGACGCUGAGACACGAAAGCUAGGGGAGCGAAUGGG